GGGUGCGUAGCUCAGCGGGAGAGCACUACGUUGACAUCGUAGGGGUCGCCGGUUCAAUCCCGGCCGUACCCACCA
rnacentral:tRNA from 1 species